rnacentral:lncRNA from 7 species
UGUUCUUGAAGGUUGUUUGCCCAUUAGUAGAGAGUUUCAGCACAUACUAGGAAAAAUGUCUUCUCUGAAGAAUGAUGAUCUUAGAAGCCUUUUCCACCCUUCAUGGUUCUUUGUGUGGUGGAAUUUGUUUCCUCUUCCAGCACUGAAUGCCUUGGAGUGCAGGGACCUGAAGGUUUGGCUGUUCUCACCUGGCCCUGUAGAAUGGUGGACUUCAGUUUUCCAAAGUAUUGUGAUUGGUGGCAGGAGUCUCAAAAUGGUGAUACGACCAAGUCUGGGUGAAGAUUCAAUUAUUAAAUAAUACGUGGAUCCUUUGAUCACAAAUGUGCUGUUUCAAGAUGAAGUUGCAUCUUUACCGUUGUUUCAAAAUUAUUGCAUGUUUAUUCCUGGACAGCUAAGUGUGUUUCCCUUAAGUAAUGAUAAAGCUAAUUUGUCCUUGGGUACAGAAACCAGCCUGUAACGUGCAGCAGUCAUUCAUCAGGUGUUAAUUCCCUAUAAUACUGUCAACAACAAACUUCUAAUAGCUGUAAGUACAUCUAAAAGUGUGCCCAUCUACAGAUAUAGUGGGAAAGGUUGUUUUCAAAUUCAAGAAAAGUGCUAAAGAAUGCUAUUUGUCCAUAAUUAAAUAUUGAGGACUUUUGUAUUAAAUAUUUAAUUGACCAGCUGUACUGCAGUCAAGUAGUGGGGAAAUGGUAGAGCUCUGUGUUUGCACUUAACAGCUAUUUCUGGGGCAACCAAGUGACCUGUUCCUGAAUAAUUGGAAGGAAGGGAAUGCCCUGGAGGAAAAUCUGUCUGUUACCCCAGUGUUGAGCCUGAGGAGUGGCACUUGGUCAUCACGAGGCUGCACCAGGGCUCUUCUGAACUGCUUUUGUUAUGCAGGAUGUCUGUGCCAAAGUUGGCAUUAAAACAAUGCAAAUUGAAGAAAGAUUGGGGUAGAUAGAAUUUUUGUCAAUUUUACAGACUUCUUUGAAUCAGAUAAUUGCUAAGAGAAAGAAGAGUUGCUCUUUGUCAAUGCGUGAAAUGGUCCUUGUGCUUUGAAGAUCAAAUGUAAAGACAAAAGAGAGGCAGCGGGUUAUCGUUACACUCAGAUUCAUGGGGUGGUUGAUGGUAAAAGACAGAGCCGGCCUUCUUGGUUGUCUUUUCUGAUCACUCCAGAUAGUUCAGUUGAACACUGAAGGCAGAGUUUUAGAUACAGAAGUACUGCAGUAUCUGUGGAUGUGUUACGGGUCCAUAACACAUCAGGAAAAGAUAUGCUUGUGGUGUGAGACAGCACUGUGUUAGUAGUUGGCCUAAGACCCAGGGUUUGUGUUGGUGUUGCAGAGGUACCUUGCUUAAACAUCUCAAUCAUGGACACCUACCCUUAACAGCAGAAAUUUGUUUGUGGUUGUUUGAAGAUGCACUGAGAAAUGUGUGUUGGGAACCCUGCACAGUGUGGUCUUACAGGGUGAUGUGCUUCUGCUCUGUUUCCUCAUUCUCUGUCCCUGCCACCAACAAGUGGUGCAAAGGGGGAGAUCAGCCGCGGGUCUCAGGGUUAAUGAUGAUUUGGUAUCAGUUGACCUGAACACACGCACUGACCAAUGUUAUUUUGACCUGAAAAUUGAGAGGAGAUUUAAACCACAAAUGAGGGAAGUCCUGGAAUGUAUUUGAUGUCCUUGUACCCACUGCUACAUCCAGAGACUGUAUGCAGUUUGUAUCUAUGGAUUUUGGAGUGUUUUGUUCCGUUAAAGCUAGGCUGUGCUAAUGCUGCAUCUGUCUCACUGAUGUAUCUGGGCAAAUCAGAUUACUGGAUGUGAGGAAUGGAAAGCAAGC